AUUGAACGCUGGCGGCAUGCCUUACACAUGCAAGUCGAACGGUAACAGGUCUUCGGAUGCUGACGAGUGGCGAACGGGUGAGUAAUACAUCGGAACGUGCCCGAUCGUGGGGGAUAACGAAGCGAAAGCUUAGCUGAUACCGCAUACGAUCUACGGAUGACAGCAGGGGACCGCAAGGCCUUGCGCGAACGGAGCGGCCGAUGGCAGAUUAGGUAGUUGGUGGGAUAAAAGCUUACCAAGCCGACGAACUGUAGCUGGUCUGAGAGGACGACCAGCCACACUGGGACUGAGACACGGCCCAGACUCCUACGGGAGGCAGCAGUGGGGAAUUUUGGACAAUGGGCGAAAGCCUGAUCCAGCCAUGCCGCGUGCAGGAUGAAGGCCUUCGGGUUGUAAACUGCUUUUGUACGGAACGAAAAGACUCUGGUUAAUACCUGGGGUCCAUGACGGUACCGUAAGAAUAAGCACCGGCUAACUACGUGCCAGCAGCCGCCGUAAAAC
rnacentral:rRNA from 1 species